rnacentral:rRNA from 1 species
CGUCGCCGCGGUAAUACAGAGGGUGCGAGCGUUAAUCGGAUUUACUGGGCGUAAAGCGUGCGUAGGCGGCUUCUUAAGUCGGAUGUGAAAUCCCUGAGCUUAACUUAGGAAUUGCAUUCGAUACUGGGAAGCUAGAGUAUGGGAGAGGAUGGUAGAAUUCCAGGUGUAGCGGUGAAAUGCGUAGAGAUCUGGAGGAAUACCGAUGGCGAAGGCAGCCAUCUGGCCUAAUACUGACGCUGAGGUACGAAAGCAUGGGGAGCAAACAGGAUUAGAUACCCCGGUAGUCCCUGUCUCUUAUACA